rnacentral:rRNA from 1 species
UUUUCUCCUGUCCAAAGCUAGGGUAAUCAGACCCCCCCAAUYAGAAAAUAGWAKGAAUGGMCAYGAGGNGCUUCAACUKGUUCUCCUUUUAGUUUGCUCAAUGAACUUGAUCUUUCAGUACAAAAGCUGAAAUAUUCCCAUAAGACGAGAAGACCCUGUGGAGCUUAAGCUAAAGCACUACUAUUACAUAAUGCCUCCCUUUAGUUGGGGCGACUACGGAACAAAACACAACUUCCCUGCCACACAAUUAAUUCCGCAACGACACACAUGUCACUGCACCCCUACCACGACCCAGUACUACUGACUAACGAACCAAGUUACCCCAGGGAUAACAGCGCCAUCCUCUUCUAGAGCCCCUAUCGCCAAGAGGGUUUACGACCUCGAUGUUGGAUCAGGACCUCCCGGUGGUGCAGCCGNCUACNCAAAGGUUCGUUUGUUCAACGAUUAAUGUC